GCUGAAAUAUCUUUUGCUGUAGGCUGAGAAGACUAACGCUGAGCUGACCAAUAAAGUUAACUCUUCUGAGGAGGCCCUCUGAGAAGCUAAAGAAAUGAUUGACCACUGAGAUGAUGAGUUAAGGAGGAUCGAAGAGAGGAUUGAAGACCUUAAGAGGCAAAGGUCCAGGCCUAAAAGAGACUGGCACCAAGCCUGUGAUGAUGUAGA
rnacentral:lncRNA from 1 species